AUUGAACGCUGGCGGCAGGCCUAACACAUGCAAGUCGAACGAGUGGCGGACGGGUGAGUAAUGUCUGGGAAACUGCCCGAUGGAGGGGGAUAACUACUGGAAACGGUAGCUAAUACCGCAUACCAUCGGAUGUGCCCAGAUGGGAUUAGCUAGUGGGUGGGGUGACGGCUCACCUAGGCGACGAUCCCUAGCUGGUCGGAGAGGAUGACAAGCCACAGGGGAACGGAGACAGGGUCCAGACUCCUACGGGAGGCAGCAGUGGGGAAUAUUGCACAAUGGGCGGAAGCCUGAUGCAGCCAUGCCGCGUGUAUGAAGAAGGCCUUAGGGUUGUAAAGUACUUUCAGCGAGGAGGCGUUACUCGCAGAAGAAGCACCGGCUAACUCCGUGCCAGCAGCCGCGGUAAUUC
rnacentral:rRNA from 1 species